rnacentral:rRNA from 1 species
AGUGAACGCUGGCGGUAGGCCUAACACAUGCAAGUCGAACGGCAGCACAGUAAGAGCUUGCUCUUACGGGUGGCGAGUGGCGGACGGGUGAGGAAUACAUCGGAAUCUACUUUUUCGUGGGGGAUAACGUAGGGAAACUUACGCUAAUACCGCAUACGACCUACGGGUGAAAGCAUGGGAUCUUCGGACCUUGCGCGAUUGAAUGAGCCGAUGUCGGAUUAGCUAGUUGGCGGGGUAAAGGCCCACCAAGGCGACGAUCCGUAGCUGGUCUGAGAGGAUGAUCAGCCACACUGGAACUGAGACACGGUCCAGACUCCUACGGGAGGCAGCAGUGGGGAAUAUUGGACAAUGGGCGAAAGCCUGAUCCAGCCAUACCGCGUGGGUGAAGAAGGCCUUCGGGUUGUAAAGCCCUUUUGUUGGGAAAGAAAAGCAGCAGGUUAAUACCCCGCUGUUCUGACGGUACCCAAAGAAUAAGCACCGGCUAACUUCGUG